UAUCCGCCAGGGUACUACGAGCGUACGUUAAAACCCAAAGGACUUGGCGGUGUCUCAGACCCACCUAGAGGAGCCUGUUCUAGAACCGAUAAUCCCCGUUAAACCUCACCACUUCUUGUUAAUCCCGCCUAUAUACCGCCGUCGCCAGCUUACCCCAUGAGGGUCAGACAGUAAGCAAAAUGGGUAAACCCCCAAACGUCAGGUCGAGGUGUAGCGUACGAAGUGGGAAGAAUGGGCUACAUUUUCUAUCGCAGAAAAUCACGAAUGGUUUAUUGAAACACACACCUGAAUGAGGAUUUAGUAGUAAAAGCAACAGAG
rnacentral:rRNA from 1 species